rnacentral:rRNA from 1 species
AUUGAACGCUGGCGGCAGGCCUAACACAUGCAAGUCGAACGGUAACAGGAAGCAGCUUGCUGCUUUGCUGACGAGUGGCGGACGGGUGAGUAAUGUCUGGGAAACUGCCUGAUGGAGGGGGAUAACUACUGGAAACGGUAGCUAAUACCGCAUAACGUCGCAAGACCAAAGAGGGGGACCUUCGGGCCUCUUGCCAUCGGAUGUGCCCAGAUGGGAUUAGCUUGUUGGUGGGGUAACGGCUCACCAAGGCGACGAUCCCUAGCUGGUCUGAGAGGAUGACCAGCCACACUGGAACUGAGACACGGCCCAGACUCCUACGGGAGGCAGCAGUGGGGAAUAUUGCACAAUGGGCGCAAGCCUGAUGCAGCCAUGCCGCGUGUAUGAAGAAGGCCUUCGGGUUGUAAAGUACUUUCAGCGGGGAGGAAGGGAGUAAAGUUAAUACCUUUACUCAUUGACGUUACCCGCAGAAGAAGCACCGGCUAACUCCGUG